rnacentral:rRNA from 1 species
GUUUGGCACCUCGAUGUCGGCUCAUCACAUCCUGGGGCUUGGAGAAGGUCCCAAGGGUUCGGCUGUCCGCCGAUUAAAGUGGUACGCGAGCUGGGUUCAGAACGUCGUGAGACAGUUCGGUCCCUAUCUGCCAUGGGCGUUGGAGAUUUGAGAGGGGCUGCUCCUAGUACGAGAGGACCGGAGUGGACGAACCUCUGGUGUUCCGGUUGUCACGCCAGUGGCAUUGCCGGGUAGCUAUGUUCGGAAGCGAUAACCGCUGAAAGCAUCUAAGCGGGAAGCGCGCCUCAAGAUGAGAUCUCCCGGGACACAAGUCCCCUGAAGGGACCAUCUAGACCAGGUGGUUGAUAGGCUGGGUGUGUAAGCGCAGCAAUGCGUUGAGCUAACCAGUACUAAUGACCCGUGCGGCUUGACCAUAUAACCUCA